rnacentral:rRNA from 1 species
CGCCUGCCCUGUGACAAAGAUUUAACGGCCGCGGUAUUUUGACCGUGCAAAGGUAGCGCAAUCACUUGUCUUUUAAAUGAAGACCUGUAUGAAUGGCACGACGAGGGCUUAACUGUCUCCUUUUUCCAGUCAAUGAAAUUGAUCUUCCCGUGCAGAAGCGGGGAUAUAGCCAUAAGACGAGAAGACCCUAUGGAGCUUUAGACACAAGACAGAUCUUGUUAAACACUUCAAAAUAAAGAAACAAACUAAAAGUAACCCUGCCCUUUUGUCUUUGGUUGGGGCGACCACGGGAAGACAAACAACCCCCACGCGGACUGAGAAAACAGUUCUCACAACCAAGAGCUACAGCUCUAAUUAACAGAAAUUCUGACCUCAAGAUCCGGCAACGCCGAUCAACGGACCGAGUUACCCUAGGGAUAACAGCGCAAUCCCCUUUUAGAGUCCAUAUCGACAAGGGGGUUUACGACCUCGAUGUUGGAUCAGGACAUCCUAAUGGUGCAGCAGCUAUUAAGGGUUCGUUUGUUCAACGAUUAAAGUCCU